rnacentral:lncRNA from 1 species
CCUUAUCGAAAGUUUCACCACCUAAACAUAAUGCACAACAAACAAUUUACUAUAUUUGUACUAAACCGUCAUAAAACUAAUUUAGGCCCUAUAUGAACGCAUGAAAUGGGAUGCGAAAUGUUCGGAUUAUUAUCUUAAUAUGGUGUUCUACGUAGCUUCAAUUAUGUAUCGAAAUAAAAUGGUAUUGGCCUAAUUCGAU